AUUGAACGCUGGCGGCAGGCCUAACACAUGCAAGUCGAGCGGGGUUUUCGGACCUAGCGGCGGACGGGUGAGUAAUGCGUAGGAAGCUACCCGAUAGAGGGGGAUACCAGUUGGAAACGACUGUUAAUACCGCAUAAUGUCUACGGACCAAAGUGUGGGACCUUCAGGCCACAUGCUAUCGGAUGCGCCUGAGUGGGAUUAGCUAGUUGGUGGGGUAAUGGCUCACCAAGGCGACGAUCCCUAGCUGGUUUGAGAGGAUGAUGAGCCACGCUGGAAGUGAGACACGGGCCAGACUCCUACGGGAGGCAGCAGUGGGGAAUAUUGGAAAAGGGGCGAAAGCCUGAUUCAGCCAUGCCGCGUGUGUGAAGAAGGCCUUCGGGUUGUAAAGCACUUUCAGUAGGGAGGAAGGGUGUUGUGUUCAUAGCACAGCAUUUUGACGUUACCUACAGAAGAAGCACCGGCUAACUCUGUGCCAGCCGCCGCGGUAA
rnacentral:rRNA from 1 species